UGCGUAGGCGGAAUGAUAAGUUAGUGGUGAAAGCCCCCGGCUCAACCGGGGAACUGCCAUUAAUACUGUCAUUCUUGAGUAUAGUUGAAGUGGGCGGAAUGUAUCAUGUAGCGGUGAAAUGCUUAGAUAUAAUACAGAACACCGAUAGCGUAGGCAGCUUGCUAAACUAUAACUGACGCUCAGGCACGAAAGCGUGGGGAGCAAACAGGGUUAGAUACCCUGGUAGUCC
rnacentral:rRNA from 1 species